rnacentral:snoRNA from 1 species
GGCUUCCUGGGGUUUACCACAGGCUGCAUUCUUUCACUGACCAUAUAGCAUUCUUAUACUGACCAUAUAGAAAGAUAAGGCAAAGUAAACCUGCUCCACGUACACCUAAGCCCAGGCCCUGUGCCUGGUCUGUAUUGUUAAUGGGGAAACA